ensembl:lncRNA
GCAUUCAUUAAUGCAGUAUAGCUAAUAGUCUGCAAGGUUUAAUUCUUCUGUUUGUGUGGUCUACAGAUAAAGGAGGAGUUCAAGAGAAUAACCACUGUAAGCCUUGAAUGGCUACACUUGACCAUUGCACCCCAAAACUGAUGGAUGUCAUUUUAUCAAGGGGAUGAGCUAAGGGAGUGAGAAUCAGGCAGAUCAAGGACAUGCUUCUUGAGCACAAUACAAUUGAAACACGCAGAGAAGUAGCCAUCUGCUGCCUUAUCACUUUCCUUGGAGAGAAGGACGAGGACCUUUUCAUGGAGUUUGGUGACACCAAAGAACUUAAGGCAGGUGAUGAAAACUGCCAUCAUCAGUGACCGGUACACCCCUGGAUCUAACCAUAAGACUGCAACCAUUGUGGUGGAG